ACGGGUGCGGAACACGUACGCAACCUUCCUUUAAGUGGGGAAUAGCCCAGGGAAACUUGGAUUAAUACCCCGUAACACUGCGAUGUGGCAUCACAAUGCAGUUAAAGCUACGGCGCUUAAAGAUGGGCGUGCGGCUGAUUAGGUAGUUGGCGGAGUAACAGCCCACCAAGCCAACGAUCAGUAACUGGUGUGAGAGCACGACCAGUCACACGGGCACUGAGACACGGGCCCGACUCCUACGGGAGGCAGCAGUAAGGAAUAUUGGUCAAUGGACGCAAGUCUGAACCAGCCAUGCCGCGUGGAGGAUGAAGGCCCUCUGGGUUGUAAACUUCUUUUAUUUGGGAAGAAACCCAUCUUUUCUAAGGUGGUUGACGGUACCAGAUGAAUAAGCACCGGCUAACUCCGUGCCAGCAGCCGCGGUAAUACGGAGGGUGCAAGCGUUAUCCGGAUUCACUGGGUUUAAAGGGUGCGUAGGUGGGCAGGUAAGUCAGUGGUGAAAUCUCCGGGCUUAACCCGGAAACUGCCGUUGAUACUAUCUGUCUUGAAUGUAGUGGAGGUGAGCGGAAUAUGUCAUGUAGCG
rnacentral:rRNA from 1 species